rnacentral:rRNA from 1 species
GAAUCUUCGGCAAUGGACGAAAGUCUGACGGAGCAACGCCGCGUGAGUGAUGAAGGUUUUCGGAUCGUAAAGCUCUGUUGCCCUAGACGAACAGCAAGGAGAGUAACUGCUCUUUGUGUGACGGUAUAGGAGAAGAAAGCCCCGGCUAACUACGUGCCAGCAGCCGCGGUAAUACGUAGGGGGCAAGCGUUGUCCGGAAUUAUUGGGCGUAAAGCGCGCGCAGGCGGUCAUUUAAGUCUGGUGUUUAAGCCCGGGGCUCAACCCCGGUUCGCAUCGGAAACUGGAUGACUUGAGUGUAAGAGAGGAAAGUGGAAUUCCACGUGUAGCGGUGAAAUGCGUAGAGAUGUGGAGGAACACCAGUGGCGAAGGCGACUUUCUGGCUUAUAACUGACGCUGAGGCGCGAAAGCGUGGGGAGCAAACAG